UAUGGCCAUAUUGGACAGAAUAUACCCGAUCUUGGCUGAUCUCAGAAGCUAAACUGUGUUGGGCCUGGCUAGUACUUGGAUGGGAGACCACCUGAGAAUCUCAGGGGGUGUA
rnacentral:rRNA from 1 species